rnacentral:rRNA from 1 species
UUGCCUUAGUAACGGCGAGUGAAGCGGCAAAAGCUCAAAUUUGAAAUCUGACACCUUUGGUGUUCGAGUUGUAAUUUGGAGAGGCAUCUUCUGGAGGGGCCCAGCCUAUGUGCCUUGGAACAGGACGUCAUAGAGGGUGAGAAUCCCGUACUUGACUGGAUGUUCCCUCCUGUAUGUAGUGUCUUCUACGAGUCGAGUUGUUUGGGAAUGCAGCUCAAAAUGGGUGGUAAAUUUCAUCUAAAGCUAAAUAUUGGCGAGAGACCGAUAGCGCACAAGUAGAGUGAUCGAAAGAUGAAAAGCACUUUGAAAAUAGAGUCAAACAGUACGUGAAAUUGUUGAAGGGGAAGCGCUUGGGACCUAUCCUGGCCAUUGACGUUCAUCCACGCCCUCCGGGGGGCAUUGCACUCGUCUUUGGGCCGGGCCAGCAUGGGUUGGGACGGUGGGAUAAAGGCUGGGGAAAUGUGACUCCUUUAUGGAGUGUUAUAGUCCCCGGUGGCAUGCCAUCAGUCCCGACCGAGGAUCGCGCACCGGCACGGAUGCUGGGUAAAGGUCUUCAGCGACCCGUCUUGAAACACGGACCAAGGAGUCUAACGUCUAUGCGAGUGUUUGGGCUUCAAACCCUCACGCGUAAUGAAAGUGAACGGAGGUGGGAACCCCGAAAGGGGCGCACCAUCGACCGAUCCUGAUGUCUUCGGAUGGAUUUGAGUAGGAGCAUAGCUGUUGGGACCCGAAAGAUGGUGAACUAUGCCUGAAUAGGGUGAAGCCAGAGGAAACUCUGGUGGAGGCUCGCAGCGGUUCUGACGUGCAAAUCGAUCGUCAAAUUUGGGUAUAGGGGCGAAAGACUAAUCGAACCAUCUAGUAGCUGGUCCU